AGCGAACGCUGGCGGCAGGCCUAACACAUGCAAGUCGAACGAACCUUUCGGGGUUAGUGGCGGACGGGUGAGUAACACGUGGGAACGUGCCUUUAGGUUCGGAAUAACUCAGGGAAACUUGUGCUAAUACCGAAUGUGCCCUUCGGGGGAAAGAUUAAUCGCCUUUAGAGCGGCCCGCGUCUGAUUAGCUAGUUGGUUGAGGUAAUGGCUCACCAAGGCGACGAUCAGUAGCUGGUCUGAGAGGAUGAUCAGCCACAUUGGGACUGAGACACGGCCCAAACUCCUACGGGAGGCAGCAGUGGGGAAUCUUGCGAAAUGGGCGAAAGCAUGACGCAGCCAUGCCGCGUGAAUGAUGAAGGUCUUAGGAUUGUAAAAUUCUUUCACCGGGGACGAUAAUGACGGUACCCGGAGAAGAAGCCCCGGCUAACUUCGUG
rnacentral:rRNA from 1 species